rnacentral:rRNA from 1 species
AUUGAACGCUGGCGGCAUGCCUUACACAUGCAAGUCGAACGGUAACAGGUCUUCGGAUGCUGACGAGUGGCGAACGGGUGAGUAAUACAUCGGAACGUGCCUAGUAGUGGGGGAUAACUACUCGAAAGAGUGGCUAAUACCGCAUGAGAUCUACGGAUGAAAGCAGGGGAUCGCAAGACCUUGUGCUACUAGAGCGGCCGAUGGCAGAUUAGGUAGUUGGUGGGAUAAAAGCUUACCAAGCCGACGAUCUGUAGCUGGUCUGAGAGGACGAUCAGCCACACUGGGACGGAGACACGACCCAGACUCCUACGGGAGGCAGCAGUGGGGAAUUUUGGACAAUGGGCGCAAGCCUGAUCCAGCAAUGCCGCGUGCAGGAUGAAGGCCUUCGGGUUGUAAACUGCUUUUGUACGGAACGAAAAGCCCUGGGUUAAUACCCUGGGGUCAUGACGGUACCGUAAGAAUAAGCACCGGCUAACUACGUGCCAGCCGCCGCCGUAAAAC